rnacentral:rRNA from 1 species
UGGGGAAUUUUCCGCAAUGGGCGAAAGCCUGACGGAGCAAUACCGCGUGAGGGAGGAAGGCUCUUGGGUUGUAAACCUCUUUUCUCAGGGAAUAAGUACUGAAGGUACCUGAGGAAUCAGCAUCGGCUAACUCCGUGCCAGCAGCCGCGGUAAUACGGAGGAUGCAAGCGUUAUCCGGAAUGAUUGGGCGUAAAGCGUCCGCAGGUGGUUAUUCAAGUCUGCUGUCAAAGAAUCUGGCUCAACCAGAUAAAGGCAGUGGAAACUGAGUGACUAGAGUAUGGUAGGGGUAGAGGGAAUUCCUGGUGUAGCGGUGAAAUGCGUAGAGAUCAGGAAGAACACCGGUGGCGAAAGCGCUCUGCUGGACCAUAACUGACACUGAGGGACGAAAGCUAGGGGAGCGAANGGGAUUAGAUACCCCNGUAGUCANA